rnacentral:tRNA from 1 species
CGGGCGGCGGCGGCCGGCGCUGCGGUCCUGCGCGGGGGUUCCGGCGGUGGCAUGACGCACGCCUGGAUCUUCACCGGGCCGCCCGGC